rnacentral:rRNA from 1 species
UAGGGAAUCUUCCGCAAUGGGCGAAAGCCUGACGGAGCAACGCCGCGUGAGUGAAGAAGGAUUUCGGUUCGUAAAGCUCUGUUGUUAGGGAAGAAUGAUUGUGUAGUAACUAUACACAGUAGAGACGGUACCUAACCAGAAAGCCACGGCUAACUACGUGCCAGCAGCCGCGGUAAUACGUAGGUGGCAAGCGUUGUCCGGAAUUAUUGGGCGUAAAGCGCGCGCAGGUGGUUUAAUAAGUCUGAUGUGAAAGCCCACGGCUCAACCGUGGAGGGUCAUUGGAAACUGUUAAACUUGAGUGCAGGAGAGAAAAGUGGAAUUCCUAGUGUAGCGGUGAAAUGCGUAGAGAUUAGGAGGAACACCAGUGGCGAAGGCGGCUUUUUGGCCUGUAACUGACACUGAGGCGCGAGAGCGUGGGGAGCAAACAGGAUUAGAUACCCUGGUAGUCCACGCCGUAAACGAUGAGUGCUAAGUGUUGGUCUCAUAAGAGAUCAGUGCUGCAGCUAACGCAUUAAGCACUCCGCCUGGGGAGUACGACCGCAAGGUUG